CGGACGAUUAUCAAUAUUGAAGAUUCUAAAAAGUAUCACAGAUACAAAGCUAACCAACCACAAAUCCCUCAGAAAACGUGCCAUGGGAAUUAUUGAUAAACUUUAUACGAGAGAAAAUAAUCUACUCUAACAAAAACAGUAAAGCCGGUUGCUCGUAAGCAGCAUCAUCAGUUACAAUUGGGUUGGGAAAAGCAAAAAUGGAUUGAGUUUUAUGGUAAAAUGCGGGCAGCAGAGGUACCUGUCCCGAUUGUAAAUAAUACAAACAUUCUAAUUUGCAUUUGCAAACUGGAUUCCCUUCUCAAUAGAAGCUUUGAGCUCGGGCUUGAGCUUUUCCAAACCUUCUUUCUCGAAGUCUGAGAGAGGACCCAAAUCCAAAACAGACUCUACCCCAUUCUUUCCAAGCUUCACCUUUGAAGCAAAGAAUGGAAGUUCGGUGACAGUUGAUUGCACAAAUGAACAUUCCACAACAUCUGGAACUCCAUUUAGUCCCUUAAGACAAGCAUCGGCAAAAAGGGCUCCAG
rnacentral:misc_RNA from 1 species